rnacentral:misc_RNA from 1 species
CCAAACUUGGUCAUUUAGAGGAAGUAAAAGUCGUAACAAGGUUUCCGUAGGUGAACCUGCGGAAGGAUCAUUAAAAAGUUUUGGGUUUUUUAAACCUAACUUCUAAACCAUUGUUUAACUAAUUUAUAUUUUGCUUUGGUAAAGCAGAUUUUUUAAAAAAUCGAUUGGAGAAUUUAAUUUUCUAAUUUGUCUUUACCAAUAGCCCCAUUAAAAUCGUUUUAAUUAAAAAAGUCUGAAAAUUUUAUUAAAUUAAAUAAAUAAAAACUUUCAACAACGGAUCUCUUGGUUCUGGCAUCGAUGAAGAACGCAGC